UGUGUGUGUGUGUGUGUGUGUGUGUGUGUGUGCGCGUGUGUGUGUAACCAACUACUUGUGUACUUCCUGUUAGACUUGCAGCACCAACAUUUCCUUAUUCUUUAUUGCAUAACAUCAGCGUUAAGCAACUUCCCAAAUGUGCUUCUCACAAUAAGAGUCCAACAAAAACACCAUUCAGCUUACUGAUUUUCAUCAAGAAUUCCAAUGAUAAAUUUGCAAGCUGUUUUUCACAGAUACAUCAAAUGGCUGCAUGCAAAUUGUGCAACCCCGAGUUUCGCUCAUCACUGAAGCGUUUCAAGCCUACGCUUUCCCUUCAGCAUGUUGGAGCAAGCGCGGACACCAGAGCUAUCGUAAAACAUUCUGGUACCGGCAAGCUUAGAUUGUCUCUGUAACUGGCUGAAAGACGAGAAGAAAUUCAGUCAGUUGUGACGGUGAUACUUGAUAUUUUGAGAUACAGCAUGUGCCUUUGUCUCUGCGUGUUUAAUACAGAUGAAUGCAUUCAUACAGUAAAGCCCUCUGUGUAAACGUGAGUAAUUGACGUCCCCUUAUUUAAAAAAAAAAAUUGCCUAUAUCAAUAGUUUACAAAGAAAAUAUUCUACAAACUAAGACACCAAAGCAGUUUAAUAUCAUGCCAAUUUCAUUUGACAACAUAACCCUAAAAAAAAAUCAAUGGCUUACAGAUGUUUUGAUUAAUCACCUCAACAUACUGUACUUUCUUGGCAGCGAUUUUGUUAGCUAGUGCUUUGUCGCCAUCAUGUGACAUCUUAGUUGCCUGUUACAGAACUAGCACAAAAUGUCGGAAUAGGUGCAAGUUGACUGUACUCUGUUGCUUGUAUUGGUUUUAGCGUUAGCAUUCGUACUCCACAGGGAAGCGGAAAUGAUUUGUUUUGACAACAGGCAACAAUUUGAAAGUGUGACUUACAGUAUGUGAAACAACUGUCAUUGAUGUUCAUGUUCAGCAAGUCCUCUCUCUAUAUGGCAUUUUCGAGGUUACAAACGUCACAAAAUGAGCUAGUUUGCGCAGCGGCCUAAUGAUAUGUGGCACAAAGGGGUAUGCUAAGUCACCACUGUACUGAAUGUUUUUCCUUUUUUAUCAUGGCCUUGAAGUGUUUGUCCAUGCAAAUAUUUAGAGUAAUUAUGGUUUUAGCACUAUGCUAGCAUAUGUAAGCGACACUACUGUGCGUUCCAACAAAUUUGGUUUGCACCACCGCCAUAGAAACCGAAUGAAGUAAUACAGUAUGCCAAGGACUCCUGUAUAUUUCUAUUUGGCCACCAAAAUGUAUUUGAAUGGAAAAACAAAGUUUUUUCAAUCAAAUACAUGCCACAACACGAAGUACGCCAACAUCUUCCGAAUCACAGCCAUCGCUCUCUAUCAAAGAUGUGUGUGUCAUCCACGUGUGCCUUUCACGACUCAUUCCACCUCCACAUGCGUAUUCAACUUCAUCUUUUCUGACACAUCAUGUCAACCUGUUGCGAAUGGCUGUCUUUGAAUCCUUUUUUUUCAUUCCCUCACUCACCGUUCCACCCUCCACCCCGUUCCACCCCGACAUCCUUCCUCGCCGUCAUUGUGUUGCUGUGGCGGCACAACAUCCUGCCAUCAUCUUGGCAUGGCAACCAAAAUCACUUUUUUUUUCUCCCAACAAGCUAAAUUAUGCAGAUUUGAUAUUGAGUCAGACGGCGCAUGCGUGCUUUUUAGAUGAUGUGUGUGACUCAGCAUGAAAAUGAUUCCCAUCGCUGUUGCCAUGGUGACUGUGUCUCAGCGGGAGACAUGUCGCCACAAUUACGUUUUUUUUUUUGGUUUUUUGUUUUUUUAAUGUGUGAUAAUUACACUGCGAGAGGGAACUGGCAUACAACACUGUGAUAAGUACAGGACAUGCAUUGUUCUCAUUCAUACUCUGACAAACAACACGGCAGACAUUUUCAUUGAGAUUUUACUCGCGGUGAUUCAUAGAAUUACACCGCUUUAACUUAACCUGUGGUGAAAGUGUUGUAAUCUGUGCGGAAUGCGCGCAUGC